AUGUGCAUACCUAAGAGUAAAGAAGGAAUGGGAUUUCGAGAUAUCCACUGUUUUAACUUGGCACUUUUAGCGAAGCAAGCAUGGAGGCUUAUUGAGAACCCUGAUUCUCUAUGUGCAAAGAUCCUGAAAGCAAAGUACUACCCUGAUGAUGAGCUUUUGAAUGUUAGUCUAAAAAAGAAAGCCUCAUACACCUGGCAAAGUAUAAUGGCAGGAGUG
rnacentral:rRNA from 1 species